AUUUAUUUAAUAUAAAAAGUAUAUUUGAUUUCCAAUCAAAAAGUCUAGUUAUUUUAGAAUAAAUA
rnacentral:tRNA from 1 species